UACGAAGGUCCCGAGCGUUAUUCGGAAUCACUGGGCGUAAAGGGAGCGUAGGCGGCGUGGUAAGUCAGAUGUGAAAUCUCAGAGCUCAACUCUGAAACUGCAUCCGAUACUGCCAUGCUAGAGUAAUGGAGGGGUAACUGGAAUUCUCGGUGUAGCAGUGAAAUGCGUGGAUAUCGAGAGGAAGACCAAUGGCGAAGGCAGGUUACUGGACAUUUACUGACGCUGAGGCUCGAAGGCUAGGGUAGCGAAAGGG
rnacentral:rRNA from 1 species